UUCUCCGUCCCCCGUCCUGAAACGCACCCUUGACUUUGCUGAUGCUGAAGAAGACGAAUCCUGGGGUGGCU
rnacentral:sRNA from 1 species